rnacentral:lncRNA from 1 species
UUUGUAUAUAAAAGAAAAACACACACUCAGGUGACUGUGAAUACCUUUUUUCUUUUUAGUUUCAGAAUUGAAGACAGCUUGUUUACUUAAUUGGUUUGGCAGAGGAAAACUUGUAAGAAGGAAAACAGAACAGCUAAUCCAUGGUCAUUUUUAUUUUCACCUUGUGUUCCCCAAAACCUGUGCACAAGCGAUGGAAGACUCUAAUUUUCAACUGUUCCUUGUCCUUCCCUUUAUAGGCUUAAUAAAUUGCUAUAUAGUGUGAUGAUUAAGAAACACUUGAACUUUGUGGUAUGAAGUAAAUU